rnacentral:rRNA from 1 species
GAGAACGUGCCCUUAAGUGGGGGAUAAUCUCGGGAAAUUGAGGAUAAUACCCCAUAGAUCAUGGCAUCUGGAAUGAGUCAUGGUUGAAAGUUCCGGCGCUUAAGGAUCGCUCUGCGGCCUAUCAGGUAGUAGUGGGUGUAAGGUACCCCCUAGCCUACGACGGGUAUGGGCCUUGAGAGAGGGAGCCCAGAGUUGGAUUCUGAGACACGAAUCCAGGCCCUACGGGGCGCAGCAGUCGCGAAAACUUCACACUGGGGGGAACCCCGAUGAGGGAAAUCCUAGUGCUAGGACAUUUGUUCUAGCUUUUCUCAAGCGUAGAUAACUUGAGGAAUAAGGGCUGGGUAAGACGGGUGCCAGCCGCCGCGGUAGUACCUGCAGCCCAAGUGGUGGUCGAUUUUAUUGAGUCUAAAACGUUCGUAGCCGGUUUGGUAAAUCUUUGGGUAAAUCGGGAAGCUUAACUUUCCGACU